UGCAAGUCGAGCGAUGAAGCUCCUUCGGGAGUGGAUUAGCGGCGGACGGGUGAGUAACACGUGGGUAACCUGCCUCAUAGAGGGGAAUAGCCUUUCGAAAGGAAGAUUAAUACCGCAUAAGAUUGUAGUACCGCAUGGUACAGCAAUUAAAGGAGUAAUCCGCUAUGAGAUGGACCCGCGUCGCAUUAGCUAGUUGGUGAGGUAACGGCUCACCAAGGCGACGAUGCGUAGCCGACCUGAGAGGGUGAUCGGCCACAUUGGGACUGAGACACGGCCCAGACUCCUACGGGAGGCAGCAGUGGGGAAUAUUGCACAAUGGGGGAAACCCUGAUGCAGCAACGCCGCGUGAGUGAUGACGGCCUUCGGGUUGUAAAACUCUGUCUUUGGGGACGAUAAUGACGGUACCCAAGGAGGAAGCCACGGCUAACUACGUGCCAGCAGCCGCGGUAAUACGUAGGUGGCAAGCGUUGUCCGGAUUUACUGGGCGUAAAGGGAGCGUAGGUGGAUAUUUAAGUGGGAUGUGAAAUACUCGGGCUUAACCUGGGUGCUGCAUUCCAAACUGGAUAUCUAGAGUGCAGGAGAGGAAAGGAGAAUUCCUAGUGUAGCGGUGAAAUGCGUAGAGAUUAGGAAGAAUACCAGUGGCGAAGGCGCCUUUCUGGACUGUAACUGACACUGA
rnacentral:rRNA from 1 species